rnacentral:rRNA from 1 species
AGUGAACGCUGGCGGUAGGCCUAACACAUGCAAGUCGAACGGCAGCACAGUAAGAGCUUGCUCUUACGGGUGGCGAGUGGCGGACGGGUGAGGAAUACAUCGGAAUCUACUUUUUCGUGGGGGAUAACGUAGGGAAACUUACGCUAAUACCGCAUACGACCUACGGGUGAAAGCAGGGGAUCUUCGGACCUUGCGCGAUUGAAUGAGCCGAUGUCGGAUUAGCUAGUUGGCGGGGUAAAGGCCCACCAAGGCGACGAUCCGUAGCUGGUCUAAGAGGAUGAUCAGCCACACUGGAACUGAGACACGGUCCAGACUCCUACGGGAGGCAGCAGUGGGGAAUAUUGGACAAAGGGCGCAAGCCUGAUCCAGCCAUACCGCGUGGGUGAAGAAGGCCUUCGGGUUGUAAAGCCCUUUUGUUGGGAAAGAAAAGCAGCAGGUUAAUACCCCGCUGUUCUGACGGUACCCAAAGAAUAAGCACCGGCUAACUUCGUG